rnacentral:rRNA from 1 species
CCUACGGGUGGCAGCAGUGGGGAAUAUUGGGCAAUGGGCGCAAGCCUGAUCCAGCAACGCCGCGUGAGGGAAGAAGGCUUUCGGGUUGUAAACUUCUUUUCUCAGGGACGAAGCAAGUGACGGUACCUGUGGAAUAAGCCACGUCGAACUACGUGCCAGCCGCCGCGGUAAUGCGUAGGUGGCAAGCGUUAUCCGGAUUUACUGGGUGUAAAGGGCGUGUAGGCGGGACUGCAAGUCAGAUGUGAACACCACGGGCCCAACCUGGGGCCUGCAGUUGAAACUGUAGUUCUUGAGUACGGGAGAGGCAGACGGAAUUCCUGGUGUAGCGGUGAAAUGCGUAGAUAUUAGGAGGAACACCAGUGGCGAAGGCGGUCUGCUGGACAGCAACUGACGCUGAGGCGCGAAAGCGUGGGGAGCAAACAGGAUUAGAUACCCCAGUAGUC